rnacentral:rRNA from 1 species
AUGCCAUUGAAGCUUCAUUCGAUCACAAAGCUAGCGACUAGUGAUCCCUGCCCAGCAAACAAGAGUAGUGCUCCUGCUUCCGAAAGAUCGGCCAUGGGAAGCAUCGGAACCGCCAACGGCAACGGGAUCGGGCACGGUGGUGCCGCGGUGGCGCGGCGGCAGCACGCCGAAGGCCCCGCGGCCAUGCUCGGCAUCGGCACGGCGAACCCCACUGGCGUCGAGGUGCCCCAGAACAUCUUCGCCGAGAACCUCUUCCGCGUCACCAAGAGCGACCACCUCACUGAGCUCCAGCAGAAGCUGACCAGAAUCUGCGAGAAGACGGGCAUCGACAAGCGCCACUUCCACCUGACGGAGGAGACGCUGGCGGCGCACCCGGAGCUGUACGACCACGACGCGUCGUCGCUGGACAACCGCCUCGCCAUGACCGUCGACGCGGUGCCGAAGCUGGCGAAGUGCGCGGCGGCCGAGGCCAUCGCCGAGUGGGGCCGCCCGGCGAGCGAGAUCACCCACCUCAUCUUCAGCACCUACUCCGCCUGGGGUGCCCCGAGCGCCGACCUGCGGCUCGCCACGCUGCUCGGCCUCCGCCCCACGGUCAACCGCACCAUCCUCAGCCUCCACGGCUGCUACGGCGGCGGCAGGGCGCUGGGCCUCGCCAGGGAGCUCGCCGAGAACAACCGCGGCGCCCGCGUCCUCCUGGCCUGCGCUGAGAUCACACUCGUCUGCAUUGGUCGGUACAGCGUGCACAUGUGGAUGACAUUAAUGAAUCGUGGAAAUACGGUGUGGGUUAAAAGUGUAGGUAGUUAA